UAUAAGUGCAGCCAUAAGUUUCCGUACUCAACUUUGAUCGUUCAUCUUAUUUAAAAUUUUUAAUAAUUAUUUUAAUCGUUAUUAGAUGAUAAAAUAUGAAUAGUACUUUAUGCAUGACUUAUAUUUUUAAACUUUUUUUUUAAAAAAAAUAAGACAGACGAUCAAAGUUGGGCAUAAAAAAUCAUGGCUUCACUUAAA
rfam:Oryza glumipatula chromosome 2, whole genome shotgun sequence.